rnacentral:rRNA from 1 species
UACGUAGGGUGCAAGCGUUGUCCGGAAUUAUUGGGCGUAAAGAGCUCGUAGGCGGUUUGUCGCGUCGGCUGUGAAAACCUAGGGCUCAACUCUGGGCUUGCAGCCGAUACGGGCAAACUAGAAUUCGGUAGGGGAGACUGAAAUUCCUGGUGUAGCGGUGAAAUGCGCAGAUAUCAGGAGGAACACCGGUGGCGAAGGCGGGUCUCUGGGCCGAUAUUGACGCUGAGGAGCGAAAGCGUGGGGAGCAAGCAGG